rnacentral:misc_RNA from 1 species
UCCUCUUGGCCAGAGGUCAGCUGCU